AACGAACGCUGGCGGCGUGCCUAACACAUGCAAGUCGAGCGAGAAAAGGGGGGCAACUCCCUGAGUACAGCGGCGCACGGGUGAGUAACACGUAGGUAACCUGCCCUCGAGCCUGGGAUAACCUACCGAAAGGUGGGCUAAUACCGGAUAUGACCACGGGAGUUACGGCUUCUGCGGUGAAAGAUGGCCUCUGCUUGCACGCCAUUUCUCGAGGAUGGGCCUGCGCGCCAUUAGCUAGUUGGCGGGGUAAUGGCCCACCAAGGCUAUGAU
rnacentral:rRNA from 1 species